UACGUAGGGGGCAAGCGUUGUCCGGAAUCUGAUUGGGCGUAAAGAGCGUGUAGGCGGCUCGGUAAGUCCGACUGUGAAAGUCCAGGGCUCAACCCUGGAAUGCCGGUGGAAACUGUCGAGCUAGAGUCCGGAAGAGGCGAGUGGAAUUCCGUGGUGUAGCGGUGAAAUGCGCAGAUAUCAGGAGGAACACCAAUGGCGAAGGCAGCUCGCUGGGACGGUACUGACGCUGAGACGACGAAGCGUGGGGAGCAAACAGG
rnacentral:rRNA from 1 species